UCAUUACCAUAAAUAAUGUUAAUCAACUAAUCGUGAUGAUAUAAAAUUUAUAUUUUAUUUAGGAAAGGAAAAAAUUUACAAAUUAAAAAUCUAUUAGCACAAUUUACAAAUUGACCAACAAUCAACGUCAAUAAUUAUGACCUAAAUCAUUAUGAAUGAAGAAACAUUUAAAUCAUCAAAUUUAAAUUGCUAUCAAUAUGGACAAUUAAAACUGAGAAAAAGUUAAUUCCAAAAGUUAAAUCACAUUUGCUAAUCCAUUUUGAUAACCAUACGAAAAGCCCAAUGGUAGCUCUUAAUUGUGAACAAUCAACUAAUCACUUUAAUACAAAUAUCACGAGAUUGGAGUUUAUUGUUUACUAAAUCAUCUUGAAUACUAAUAAAUGUUAAUCUCUUUGUCUUCCUUGUCUCUCUCUCUCUCUCUCUCUCUCUCUCUCUCUCUCUCUCUAAUCCAAAGGAGUUUUUUUCUUCUUACCUUUUAUCAUCCUUUUUAUCAUCUCUAUGGUGUGUUAAUCCACCAUCAAUAUUGAAAAGCAUUAAAAGUUUAUCCUUUAAUCCGGUUUAAUGUAUAAGCGCAACAACAGAAAAAAAAUCAUAAGAAAUAAUUUAAAUCCUUUGUAAAUUAGUUCCAGAUUGUUUCUCAUUUUCUUGAUUAUCUAUCAAGAUUAAAGUUGAUUAUGAUUUGGAUUGAUGAUUAACUAUCAAUUGUUAUAUACAAGAUGAUAAUCAAAUGUAAAUUGUUGUAAAACAAUCAACUUCAUGAAUGGAUUUAAAUUGUUGUUCAACUAUUUUAUUGGCCAAAACUUGUCAAGGAUUUUAUUACAAUUUGUUAAUUUAAAUUGUUCUUAUCCUCUCUAAUCAUUGUUUAAAUUGUAUAAUCAGUAUGGUGAUUAAAAUUGUUUCAAUUGCGUGUCACCAAUUUAAAUCCUUAAUCAAUAAACUGGCCUGAUUGUUAAAACCAUAAUCCAAGACAAUCAAUUGAUUGGUAAUCUAUUGAAAUAGUUGGUGGGAUUUCAAAUUCACCAGUGGAUUCAACACCAACUCCACCCAACAGAAAUAGACAAGGUUCAAUCAUGGAUCAUAAUUGUGUUGCCAUUAUUUGAAUAAAUAUGAAUUUCGGUUAACUAAUUGCAAUUAAGUUUGAUUAUCCUUGCAAAGGAUAAUAUUUUUUACACACAAACACAAUCAACAAUUUAAUUUGUGUGACAAUUAAAACCUCACAGAUCAAUUGAAAGAGAAACUUGAAAAUAUUAGUUACAAGUUGAUUAUCUUGUAUAAUAUUAACAUUGAAAUUGAUUAAAUCUUUAAUUGUCUAUUAGAGGUUCUUGUUUUAAUUAUCAUACGAAUCAUAAGAAUUUAAUUGUGGUGUAAAAAGAAAUCAGGAGAAACCCCUAAGGCAAAAUUGUAUUGAUAUGUAAGUAGAUGAUUGUUGAUGAUUAAACUGUAAUAAUAAGCAAAUUUUGAUCAUUUUUUUCUGCUUCACAAUUGACUGAUCAGAACCAAGUUGGUUUACCUUAAAUCAUUUGAGAAAGUGAUUAUUGUUAAGGUUUCAUAAUCUUAUCGUUUAUUAUAACAAUUGUAUUAAGAUGGUGUUGUGAUUAUCUAUUCAAAUACAUGGGAGUGGGAGAAAGUGGGAGUGGGUGUUGGGUGGUGGUGGUGGAAAGUAAUCUGUUGAAUGAACCAUGAGAUUGAUGCAAUAGAAAUGAAACAAUAAAGAAGAAAAAAAUUCUCGAAUCAAUAUUAUCUCCGAUGAAGAAAAAAAACCGAAAAAAAGUUCUAAUGUAAUUGAUUAGCAUCUUUAAUGGUUUGAUGAUGGAAGACAAAAGGCUCAGAUAAGUUCUAAUGCUUCCUCAUCAUCCUCAUCAUCCUCAUCUUUGUUUUCACCUUUUUUUUGUCUCUUGUUCAGUGAAGGGUAAAUGUUCAUAAGGUGAAUCGAUUUCAUCUCAAGUGUAUUUGUCAUUCAACAAGUUCAUCAUCAGGAUGAGAUGGAAAGGAUUUCAUCUCUCUCUCUCUCUCUCUCUCUCUCUCUCUCUCUCUCUCUCUCUCUCUCUCUCUCUCUCUCUCUUCCUUGGAUGAUGUGAGCUCAUAAGGAUGAUAAGUGAUCGUGAUCAGAAAGACCAAAUCGAUCAUUUUUCUGGUUGAAAUAUCUUCCCAUGGAUGAUGAUCAUGUUGAUGAUUAUCAUCAACUGAACAAAGUUUCACUUUUACAAAUCAUUGAAGCAGAAUUGUUAACAAUAUAAUUAUAUUACUAAAUUGUUUAUAAUCAUAUUAUCAUUAGAAAUUAACAAUUUUUCUGUAAAUUGUUUGUAUACCCAACAGUUUUUUUUUACUAUCACAAUGCAAUCAGUUAAUUGUUUGGGUUGUGAUUUCAAUCAGUUAAUAAUCAUUGUUGAUCCUCUGGUUUUUGUUUUAUGUUUUGUGUGUAAAUUUCAAUGCUAACAAAUCAAUUGAUUGUUGUACCAUUAACACUAAUAAUUAACUUUAGGUUUUAAUUACAGUAAAUUGAACUUACCUUCAUUAGUGUGAAAAUCAAUGUGUAUUGAUGAUAAAUUGUUGUGAGAUAAGUUAAUUGUUAGUUAAUUGCUAACUCAUUUUCAGUCAAUAGUUUUGUUUCAAUUGUGAUCUCAGAAAUUGAGUUUAUUGUCAAAAUUUGAUUGUUUUUUUUUUUAUAUAUUAAAUUUGAUGUCAAAAUUUUCAUCAGUUAAUUGUGAGAUUUAAUUUUCCUGUUUAUUAUUUACAAGAAAAUUUAUUAUUAAAAUAAUUGAUUGUUAAUUGUUUGAUUUGUUGACCUUUCCUUUUGUAAACAAAUUGACCAACUUUUUCACUCACAUAACAAAACAUAUUAACUGAAAUGUUGUUUUCCCUUGAUUGUUGUAAGUUAAUUGUUGAAUAACAUUCGGGACCAUUAACUGAUUGUUCAAAUAUCUAAAAACAACAACAAACUCAACUACAAUUUAGUUAAUUGUAAAUAACAAUCAACCAACAAUCAAAGUGAAAAGUUAUCAGCAACUUGUCAAGAUAAACUGAGAAAAAAUCAACUUGACUUGAAUUAAGAAACAUUGAAACAUCAGAUACUCGGACACACCUAAGUUUGAUCAUUGAUCAGCAAAUACCAUUAAAAUCAUAAUCAUCUUCAUCUUCAUCUUCAUCUUCAUCAUCAUUAUUAUUAUCAUGAAAAUCAGGAAUCAAAUUACAUUUUAAAUUCAUUGGUAAAGUUGAUUAAUCUAAUCUUGAAAUCGUUUCCCUUUGGUCAAUGUUUAUAUUGUUUCCUGUUAAACUGUGUCUUUACCCAACAGUUAACUACACGAACAAUUAACUAAUUGCUGAAAGUGAUUCUAAUUAAAGGUAAUAUAUUGUAGUUCUGACCAAUGUCCAGUAAGGUUGGUAAGAAAAUGAUUUCAAUCAAAUGAUUAAUUGAUUGAUUGACAAUUGAAUUUGAAAUUUCAUCUUCAUCUAUUAACUUUUCCAAUCAAUUUAAAAGGUUAAUUGGUGAUCAUUAGGAAAACAACACAACUAAAUACAAAUGAUUCCUUGACGUUAAUAUACAUCAUCAACUUGGGAGCUUAAUCUUUUUGAUCCAUUUAUUGGUGUGAUCGCCAUCUCAAUAUAUUAGGAUGAUGAUGAUGACGCUCUGAUUCUUAGUAUCUUAUAUCAACAUUGUUCCAUUGAUGUCAAAUGUUCUUCAGCUAUUUUUCUUCACUCAUCACUGAUUUGAUUAUCUAUCUACCAAUUAAGGUUUUACCCUCUUCUCUCUCUCUCUCUAUCUCUUACUCUGUGUGUCGAUUUGUUUCCCUUCUCAAUGUUGUUUACACUUUUUGUUUUCCUUAUCUUAUGGCUCCUUUUGUGUUUAAUAGUUGUUAUUAAUUCGCCUUCUAGGUAAAUUGACAUCAUUAACCAUUAUUAUUAUUAUUAUCUUGAUUAUCAUCUCCAUCACUAAAUUGCCGUUGUGUUGUUUAAGCAUCAUCAUCAACAGAAUCAUCAUUAUCUUUAUCAUCAGAAUCAUCUCCUUCUCAUCAUCAGUGUCAACCUUUUAAGCUUUAUCAAUGUUAAUUGUUUGAAAUCGAUAAUAUUAAUAGUGAAAAUGUUUAGUAAAUUAAUACAUCAUUUGCAAUUCUUA